GUGAAUCAUCGAAUUUUUGAACGCAAAUUGCACUCUCUUCGGAGCGUAUGACUGUUUGAGGGUCAGUAUUAAUAAUAAUCGGUGUGUUGCUUCUUUGUGACGCUUCGGAGUUUGGGUCAUCUUACUAUUCUUUAGUUUUUUAGAUGCUUAACAUUGACUUUUUUUGAGCUUUUUAGUUGUACAUAAAUUUUUUUUUUAUUUUUCUGUCUUAAUGCUCAAUAUCCUAUUCGAUGUGACCAUAUCGUGUGGUUUUGUGUCUAUAACU
rnacentral:misc_RNA from 1 species